GAUGAACGCUGGCGGCGUGCCUAAUACAUGCAAGUCGAGCGAACAGAUGAGGAGCUUGCUCCUCUGACGUUAGCGGCGGACGGGUGAGUAACACGUGGAUAACCUACCUAUAAGACUGGGAUAACUUCGGGAAACCGGAGCUAAUACCGGAUAAUAUAUUGAACCGCAUGGUUCAAUAGUGAAAGACGGUUUUGCUGUCACUUAUAGAUGGAUCCGCGCCGCAUUAGCUAGUUGGUAAGGUAACGGCCUACCAAGGCAACGAUGCGUAGCCGACCUGAGAGGGUGAUAGGCCACACUGGAACUGAGCCACGGUCCAGACUCCUACGGGAGGCAGCAGUAGGGAAUCUUCCGCAAUGGGCGAAAGCCUGACGGAGCAACGCCGCGUGAGUGAUGAAGGUCUUCGGAUCGUAAAACUCUGUUAUUAGGGAAGAACAAAUGUGUAAGUAACUAUGCACGUCUUGACGGUACCUAAUCAGAAAGCCACGGCUAACUACGUG
rnacentral:rRNA from 1 species